rfam:TPA: Bos taurus chromosome X, whole genome shotgun sequence.
GCCUGAAUACCUCAGUUGGGAGAGCGUUAGACUGAAGAUCUAAAUGCUCCCUGGCUUGAUCCCGGGUUCUGGCA